rnacentral:rRNA from 1 species
CAGUCGCCGCGGUAAUACGUAGGUGGCAAGCGUUGUCCGGAAUUAUUGGGCGUAAAGGGCUCGCAGGCGGUUGCUUAAGUCUGAUGUGAAAGCCCCCGGCUCAACCGGGGAGGGUCAUUGGAAACUGGGAAACUUGAGUGCAGAAGAGGAGAGUGGAAUUCCACGUGUAGCGGUGAAAUGCGUAGAGAUGUGGAGGAACACCAGUGGCGAAGGCGACUCUCUGGUCUGUAACUGACGCUGAGGAGCGAAAGCGUGGGGAGCGAACAGGAUUAGAUACCCGCGUAGUCCCUGUCUCUUAUAC